rnacentral:rRNA from 1 species
UGGAACCACCCGAUCCCUUCCCGAACUCGGAAGUGAAACGUCUUAGCGCCGAUGGUAGUGUGGAGCUUCUCCAUGCGAGAGUAGGUCAUCGCCA